rnacentral:rRNA from 1 species
AGAGUUUGAUUCUGGCUCAGGAUGAACGCUAGCGAUAGGCUUAACACAUGCAAGGUCGAGGGGCAGCACGGGAGUAGCAAUACUUGGUGGCGACCGGCGCACGGGUGAGUAACGCGUAUGCAACCUACCUAUCAGAGGGGAAUAACCCGGCGAAAGUCGGACUAAUACCGCAUAAAACAGGGGCACCGCAUGGUGAUAUUUGUUAAAGAAAUUCGCUGAUAGAUGGGCAUGCGUUCCAUUAGGUAGUUGGUGAGGUAACGGCUCACCAAGCCGACGAUGGAUAGGGGAACUGAGAGGUUGGUCCCCCACACUGGUACUGAGACACGGACCAGACUCCUACGGGAGGCAGCAGUGAGGAAUAUUGGUCAAUGGGCGGGAGCCUGAACCAGCCAAGUCGCGUGAAGGAAAGAAGGAUCUAUGGUUCGUAAACUUCUUUUGCAGGGGAAUAAAGUGCAGGACGUGUCCUGUUUUGUAUGUACCCUGAGAAUAAGGAUCGGCUAACUCCGUGCCAGCAGCAGC